GGCUAGCCUCAAGUGAUGAUUAUUGGAGGUAGAGCACUGUUUGGACGAGGGGCCCCUCUCGGGUUACCGAAUUCAGACAAACUCCGAAUGCCAAUUAAUUUAACUUGGGAGUCAGAACAUGGGUGAUAAGGUCCGUGUUCGAAAGGGAAACAGCCCAGACCACCAGCUAAGGUCCCAAAAUAUAUGUUAAGUGGAAAAGGAUGUGGCGUUGCCCAGACAACUAGGAUGUUGGCUUAGAAGCAGCCAUCAUUUAAAGAGUGCGUAAUAGCUCACUAGUCGAGUGACACUGCGCCGAAAAUGUACCGGGGCUAAACAUAUUACCGAAGCUGUGGAUUGUCCUUUGGACAAUGGUAGGAGAGCGUUCUAAGGGCGUUGAAGCAUGAUCGUAAGGACAUGUGGAGCGCUUAGAAGUGAGAAUGCCGGUGUGAGUAGCGAAAGACGGGUGAGAAUCCCGUCCACCGAUUGACUAAGGUUUCCAGAGGAAGGCUCGUCCGCUCUGGGUUAGUCGGGUCCUAAGCUGAGGCCGACAGGCGUAGGCGAUGGAUAACAGGUUGAUAUUCCUGUACCACCUAUAAUCGUUUUAAUCGAUGGGGGGACGCAGUAGGAUAGGCGAAGCGUGCGAUUGGAUUGCACGUCUAAGCAGUAAGGCUGAGUAUUAGGCAAAUCCGGUACUCGUUAAGGCUGAGCUGUGAUGGGGAGAAGACAUUGUGUCUUCGAGUCGUUGAUUUCACACUGCCGAGAAAAGCCUCUAGAUAGAAAAUAGGUGCCCGUACCGCAAACCGACACAGGUAGUCAAGAUGAGAAUUCUAAGGUGAGCGAGCGAACUCUCGUUAAGGAACUCGGCAAAAUGACCCCGUAACUUCGGGAGAAGGGGUGCUCUUUAGGGUUAACGCCCAGAAGAGCCGCAGUGAAUAGGCCCAAGCGACUGUUUAUCAAAAACACAGGUCUCUGCUAAACCGUAAGGUGAUGUAUAGGGGCUGACGCCUGCCCGGUGCUGGAAGGUUAAGAGGAGUGGUUAGCUUCUGCGAAGCUACGAAUCGAAGCCCCAGUAAACGGCGGCCGUAACUAUAACGGUCCUAAGGUAGCGAAAUUCCUUGUCGGGUAAGUUCCGACCCGCACGAAAGGCGUAACGAUUUGGGCACUGUCUCAACGAGAGACUCGGUGAAAUCAUAGUACCUGUGAAGAUGCAGGUUACCCGCGACAGGACGGAAAGACCCCGUGGAGCUUUACUGUAGCCUGAUAUUGAAAUUCGGCACAGCUUGUACAGGAUAGGUAGGAGCCUUUGAAACGUGAGCGCUAGCUUACGUGGAGGCGCUGGUGGGAUACUACCCUAGCUGUGUUGGCUUUCUAACCCGCACCACUUAUCGUGGUGGGAGACAGUGUCAGGCGGGCAGUUUGACUGGGGCGGUCGCCUCCUAAAAGGUAACGGAGGCGCUCAAAGGUUCCCUCAGAAUGGUUGGAAAUCAUUCAUAGAGUGUAAAGGCAUAAGGGAGCUUGACUGCGAGACCUACAAGUCGAGCAGGGUCGAAAGACGGACUUAGUGAUCCGGUGGUUCCGCAUGGAAGGGCCAUCGCUCAACGGAUAAAAGCUACCCCGGGGAUAACAGGCUUAUCUCCCCCAAGAGUUCACAUCGACGGGGAGGUUUGGCACCUCGAUGUCGGCUC
rnacentral:rRNA from 1 species